UUGUAGCGACAUGGAUGGACCUGGAGAUUGUCAUACUAAGUGAAGUCACAAAAAUGGCCAAGGAGGUGGUCCUGAAGUUCUGACAGUUUCCUCAGUGGGAGAUGGGCUCUCUGGGCGAUCACACAGACAGCACGGAGAACCCCGGGGGCCUGUGUGAAUGACGGGGUCUGCGCAGAGAGAGCAAGGUGCCACGAGGGUGAGGACAAGAGAGAGAGACGGAUCUAAUAGUGAUGCUCUGCUGCCCAUUUGACACACAAUCCUGGAGAACCUACUGAACGCUGGGCACCCAGGAGCGCCACCCAGAAGGCCAGCCUUAUGAUUGGUAGGUGUAGCUGUUGGUUUGUGAGUUCAGAGGCUUCUGGAAGACGCCCCUGUUAAAAGAAAAAACCCUCCGCCUGCUAGCUGGGCCCUGCCCCUCUAGAACUCAGACCUGAGGCUUAGAGGCAGUUUUGCUGAACUGCAUGAGACUGUGGGUGCAGGCAGUCCUGCUUUGGGCUUUUCUACCAGACUAAUGAGAAAUGGAGUUCUCCUUCACACCAUAGAAGCAGCCUAGCCUUCUGAGCUUCCCAGGUCUUGGCCAUGGUAGACGGAAGAACAGCAGGGGACCCCAAGGGAACUGCCUGCCAGCCUGGGUAGGAAUUGGCAACGACUAAAGACAAAGGCAGUGUUACUUGGCAGAUACCAUGAAGCCCGCGAGGAGUGGAUGCAUUCACUGCACGGAGAUCCGCCACGCUGGUCAGGAGGUGCACGGGAAACACCGCUGGGCUCCUUGGAAAUGCUUGACAGCGAGCGUGGCUGUGCUGUUUCAUGGAAGAGGGCACGAGAGCCAGCAACAUCCAUGAUUGUAGAAAUGCAAGCCCAUUUUCAC